AACUUCGGGAGAAGGCACGCUGACACGUAGGUGAAGCGGUUUACCCGUGGAGCUGAAGUCAGUCGAAGAUACCAGCUGGCUGCAACUGUUUAUUAAAAACACAGCACUGUGCAAACACGAAAGUGGACGUAUACGGUGUGACGCCUGCCCGGUGCCGGAAGGUUAAUUGAUGGGGUCAGCGCAAGCGAAGCUCCUGAUCGAAGCCCCGGUAAACGGCGGCCGUAACUAUAACGGUCCUAAGGUAGCGAAAUUCCUUGUCGGGUAAGUUCCGACCUGCACGAAUGGCGUAAUGAUGGCCAGGCUGUCUCCACCCGGGACUCAGUGAAAUUGAACUCGCUGUGAAGAUGCAGUGUACCCGCGGCAAGACGGAAAGACCCCGUGAACCUUUACUAUAGCUUGACACUGAACACUGGUCCUUGAUGUGCAGGAUAGGUGGGAGGCUUUGAAGUGUGGACGCCAGUCUGCAUGGAGCCGUCCUUGAAAUACCACCCUUUAAUGGCUGGUGUUCUAACGUAGACCCGUGAACCGGGUUGCGGACAGUGUCUGGUGGGUAGUUUGACUGGGGCGGUCUCCUCCUAAAGCGUAACGGAGGAGCACGAAGGUUGGCUAAUCCUGGUCGGACAUCAGGAGGUUAGUGCAAUGGCAUAAGCCAGCUUGACUGCGAGCGUGACGGCGCGAGCAGGUGCGAAAGCAGGUCAUAGUGAUCCGGUGGUUCUGAAUGGAAGGGCCAUCGCUCAACGGAUAAAAGGUACUCCGGGGAUAACAGGCUGAUACCGCCCAAGAGUUCAUAUCGACGGCGGUGUUUGGCACCUCGAUGUCGGCUCAUCACAUCCUGGGGCUGAAGUAGGUCCCAAGGGUAUGGCUGUUCGCCAUUUAAAGUGGUACGCGAGCUGGGUUUAGAACGUCGUGAGACAGUUCGGUCCCUAUCUGCCGUGGGCGCUGGAGAACUGAGGGGGGCUGCUCCUAGUACGAGAGGACCGGAGUGGACGCAUCACUGGUGUUCGGGUUGUCAUGCCAAUGGCACUGCCCGGUAGCUAAAUGCGGAAGAGAUAAGUGCUGAAAGCAUCUAAGCACGAAACUUGCCCCGAGAUGAGUUCUCCCUGAGACUACAAGUCUCCUGAAGGAACGUUGAAGACGACGACGUUGAUAGGCCGGGUGUGUAAGCGCAGCGAUGCGUUGAGCUAACCGGUACUAAUGAACCGUGAGGCUUAACCUUACAACGCCGAAG
rnacentral:rRNA from 1 species